AGAUUAAGUUAUUAAGGGCGCACGGUGGAUGCCUUGGCACUAGAAGCCGAAGAAGGACGUUACUAACGACGAUAUGCUUUGGGGAGCUGUAAGUAAGCGUUGAUCCAGAGAUUUCCGAAUGGGGAAACCCAGCAUGAGUUAUGUCAUGUUAUCGAUAUGUGAAUACAUAGCAUAUCAGAAGGCAGACCCGGAGAACUGAAACAUCUUAGUACCCGGAGGAAGAGAAAGAAAAAUCGAUUCCCUGAGUAGCGGCGAGCGAAACGGGAAGAGCCCAAACCAACAAGCUUGCUUGUUGGGGUUGUAGGACACUCUAUACGGAGUUACAAAAGUAUAUAUUAGACGAAUCAUCUGGAAAGUUGAAUCAAAGAAGGUAAUAAUCCUGUAGUCGAAAAUAUAUACUCUCUUGAGUGGAUCCUGAGUACGACGGAGCACGUGAAAUUCCGUCGGAAUCUGGGAGGACCAUCUCCUAAGGCUAAAUACUCUCUAGUGACCGAUAGUGAACCAGUACCGUGAGGGAAAGGUGAAAAGUACCCCGGAAGGGGAGUGAAAGAGAACUUGAAACCGUGUGCUUACAAGUAGUCAGAGCCCGUUAAUGGGUGAUGGCGUGCCUUUUGUAGAAUGAACCGGCGAGUUACGAUUUGAUGCAAGGUUAAGCAGUGAAUGUGGAGCCGUAGCGAAAGCGAGUCUGAAUAGGGCGUUGAGUAUUUGGUCGUAGACCCGAAACCAGGUGAUCUACCCUUGGUCAGGUUGAAGUUCAGGUAACACUGAAUGGAGGACCGAACCGACUUACGUUGAAAAGUGAGCGGAUGAACUGAGGGUAGCGGAGAAAUUCCAAUCGAACUUGGAGAUAGCUGGUUCUCUCCGAAAUAGCUUUAGGGCUAGCCUCAAGUGAUGAUUAUUGGAGGUAGAGCACUGUUUGGACGAGGGGCCCUUCUCGGGUUACCGAAUUCAGACAAACUCCGAAUGCCAAUCAAUUUAACUUGGGAGUCAGAACAUGGGUGAUAAGGUCCGUGUUCGAAAGGGAAACAGCCCAGACCACCAGCUAAGGUCCCAAAAUAUAUGUUAAGUGGAAAAGGAUGUGGCGUUGCCCAGACAACUAGGAUGUUGGCUUAGAAGCAGCCAUCAUUUAAAGAGUGCGUAAUAGCUCACUAGUCGAGUGACACUGCGCCGAAAAUGUACCGGGGCUAAACAUAUUACCGAAGCUGUGGAUUGUCCGUAGGACAAUGGUAGGAGAGCGUUCUAAGGGCGUUGAAGCAUGAUCGCAAGGACAUGUGGAGCGCUUAGAAGUGAGAAUGCCGGUGUGAGUAGCGAAAGACGGGUGAGAAUCCCGUCCACCGAUUGACUAAGGUUUCCAGAGGAAGGCUCGUCCGCUCUGGGUUAGUCGGGUCCUAAGCUGAGGCCGACAGGCGUAGGCGAUGGAUAACAGGUUGAUAUUCCUGUACCACCUAGUAUCGUUUUAAUCGAUGGGGGGACGCAGUAGGAUAGGCGAAGCGUGCUAUUGGAUUGCACGUCCAAGCAGUAAGACUGAGUGUUAGGCAAAUCCGGCACUCAUAAGGUCAAGCUGUGAUGGGGAGAGGAAAUUGUUUCCUCGAGUCGUUGAUUUCACACUGCCAAGAAAAGCCUCUAGAUAGAUAACAGGUGCCCGUACCGCAAACCGACACAGGUAGUCAAGAUGAGAAUUCUAAGGUGAGCGAGCGAACUCUCGUUAAGGAACUCGGCAAAAUGACCCCGUAACUUCGGGAGAAGGGGUGCUCUUUAGGGUUAACGCCCAGAAGAGCCGCAGUGAAUAGGCCCAAGCGACUGUUUAUCAAAAACACAGGUCUCUGCUAAACCGUAAGGUGAUGUAUAGGGGCUGACGCCUGCCCGGUGCUGGAAGGUUAAGAGGAGUAGUUAGCUUCUGCGAAGCUACGAAUCGAAGCCCCAGUAAACGGCGGCCGUAACUAUAACGGUCCUAAGGUAGCGAAAUUCCUUGUCGGGUAAGUUCCGACCCGCACGAAAGGCGUAACGAUUUGGGCACUGUCUCAACGAGAGACUCGGUGAAAUCAUAGUACCUGUGAAGAUGCAGGUUACCCGCGACAGGACGGAAAGACCCCGUGGAGCUUUACUGUAGCCUGAUAUUGAAAUUCGGCACAGCUUGUACAGGAUAGGUAGGAGCCUUUGAAACGUGAGCGCUAGCUUACGUGGAGGCAUUGGUGGGAUACUACCCUAGCUGUGUUGGCUUUCUAACCCGCACCACUUAUCGUGGUGGGAGACAGUGUCAGGUGGGCAGUUUGACUGGGGCGGUCGCCUCCUAAAAGGUAACGGAGGCGCUCAAAGGUUCCCUCAGAAUGGUUGGAAAUCAUUCAUAGAGUGUAAAGGCAUAAGGGAGCUUGACUGCGAGACUUACAAGUCGAGCAGGGUCGAAAGACGGACUUAGUGAUCCGGUGGUUCCGCAUGGAAGGGCCAUCGCUCAACGGAUAAAAGCUACCCCGGGGAUAACAGGCUUAUCUCCCCCAAGAGUUCACAUCGACGGGGAGGUUUGGCACCUCGAUGUCGGCUCAUCGCAUCCUGGGGCUGUAGUCGGUCCCAAGGGUUGGGCUGUUCGCCCAUUAAAGCGGUACGCGAGCUGGGUUCAGAACGUCGUGAGACAGUUCGGUCCCUAUCCGUCGUGGGCGUAGGAAAUUUGAGAGGAGCUGUCCUUAGUACGAGAGGACCGGGAUGGACAUACCUCUGGUGUACCAGUUGUCGUGCCAACGGCAUAGCUGGGUAGCUAUGUAUGGACGGGAUAAGUGCUGAAAGCAUCUAAGCAUGAAGCCCCCCUCAAGAUGAGAUUUCCCAACUUCGGUUAUAAGAUCCCUCAAAGAUGAUGAGGUUAAUAGGUUCGAGGUGGAAGCGUGGUGACACGUGGAGCUGACGAAUACUAAUCGAUCGAAGACUUAAUCAAUUU
rnacentral:rRNA from 1 species